GAUCAUGGCUCAGGAUGAACGCUAGCUACAGGCUUAACACAUGCAAGUCGAGGGGCAGCAUGUUGGUUGCUUGCAACCAACGAUGGCGACCGGCGCACGGGUGAGUAACGCGUAUCCAACCUUCCGCAUACUCGGGAAUAGCCUUUCGAAAGAAAGAUUAAUGCCCGAUGGUUUCCCGAAUCCGCAUGAGAGCGGGAAUAAAGAUUACAUCGGUAUGCGAUGGGGGAUGCGU
rnacentral:rRNA from 1 species